rnacentral:tRNA from 1 species
UGGAUAUAAUUUAAAUAAAAUAUUAGAAUGUGAAACUAAAAAUAGGGAAUAAACACCCCUUAUCCACCCCUCACAACCACCAACACAUAUUAGA